CCAGUGUCCUCUUCUGACCUCUGAAGGAACCAGGCUCACAUGUGGAAUGUCCUUCCUGUUGACAUUAAUGACUCCAUGAUAACCAGAGACAUCGAGAGUCCAGGAGGCAAAGGUAGAAAAGAAAAGAAGCUAUGGAGUGAUCAGCACAACUCAGGAUCAUCCACUUUGCCUUGUCAUAA